UACGUAGGGUGCAAGCGUUAAUCGGAAUACUGGGCGUAAAGCGUGCGCAGGCGGUUGUGCAAGACCGAUGUGAAAUCCCCGGGCUUAACCUGGGAAUGGCAUUGGUGACUGCACGGCUAGAGUGUGUCAGAGGGGGGGUAGAAUUCCACGUGUAGCAGUGAAAUGCGUAGAUAUCUGGAGGAACACCGGGUGGCGAAGGCGGCAUCCUGGACCGGCUAGUUGACGC
rnacentral:rRNA from 1 species